CCUUGACAUACUAAGAACUUUCCAGAGAUGGAUUGGUGCCUUCGGGAACUUAGAUACAGGUGCUGCAUGGCUGUCGUCAGCUCGUGUCGUGAGAUGUUGGGUUAAGUCCCGNAACGAGCGCAACCUUUUCCUUAUUUGCCAGCGGGUCAUGCCGGGAACUUUAAGGAUACUGCCAGUGACAAACUGGAGGAAGGCGGGGACGACGUCAAGUCAUCAUGGCCCUUACGGCCAGGGCUACACACGUGCUACAAUGGUCGGUACAAAGGGUUGCUACCUCGCGAGAGGAUGCUAAUCUCAAAAAGCCGAUCGUAGUCCGGAUCGCAGUCUGCAACUCGACUGCGUGAAGUCGGAAUCGCUAGUAAUCGCGGAUCAGAAUGCCGCGGUGAAUACGUUCCCGGGCCUUGUACACACCGCCCGUCACACCAUGGGAGUUUGUUGCACCAGAAGUAGGUAGUCUAACCGCAAGGAGGACGCUUACCACGGUGUGGCCGAUGACUGGGGUGAAGUCGUAACAAGGUAGGCGUAGAUGA
rnacentral:rRNA from 1 species